CUAUAGUUGACUUUUAGGCUAGAAACUUGGUCAACAAGUUAGCCAUGUGCCACACAUGUUGGAAGCUUAAAGAACAAGCUAACUACGUGGUCCAUCCAUAGAAAACUUGCCUUGCAAGCAAAGGCAUGUGGCCUAGAAAGUCAACAUAUAUUGGAGGUCUUAUAGAACAUUGCCACGUGACUUCUAGUUAGAUAGUAUAUAUAGAGGCAAGAGUGAAGCCCUCUUCACUCUUGUCAACUCCUUUCUUGCUUCUAGUCUAGUUUCAAGGGUCUCUAGUUUUCUUGUAUUUUGGCAAUAGCCAUUCCAGUUUCUUUCUUAAUAUACAUAUUUCUAUUUUGUCCUAUUUCUUUUUGAGAAAAGUCUCACUUACUCUUUAGCUUUCAUCGAGUUCUUGUCCUUGACAGAUUGACAAGAGUACACUUACAAUAUCAGAGCUUUGUCUUUUCUUGAUUAAGAAUGGAUUACCCCUUUUUCUUGAUAAGACAUAAGCGCAUUAGAAGUUGCGGAUUACCCUCUUUUAAACUGAUAUUGUUCUUAGUAUUUUCUUUGUUAUCAAUUCCUCUCUUCUAUUUCUUUUGAGCGUUAUUAGACAUCUUCUCUUUUCUAAGUGCUACUAUGGCAGAGCUUGUUGAAAUGAAGAGUGCAAUGGCACAGAUGCAAGAACAAUUGAGGGAGUUAAUGCUUGCGAUGCAUCAACUCAAUUUACCACCACAAGGAGCAACAAGAAUGGUAGGAAGUGAAGAUAUAGAGAUGAUUGGAGCUGCUUCAACAUCUGCACCAAACCAUGUCCCUUCUCCCAGAAUGAAACACCCUUCGAGUGUUAGAGAACCGAGAGUUGCCUUGCCCGAGAAGUUUGAUGGUACCAGAUCCAAGUUUCGAGGAUUCAUCAAUCAGGUCCAACUAGUGAUUGAACUUCAAUCCCAGAGCUAUCCAACUCCAGGGUCACAAAUUAGAUUCAUUGGUACACUUCUUGCAGGUUCAGCAUUGUCAUGGUUUUCAUCUUUUCUUGAACGACGAGAUCCAAUAUUGGAUAAUCUGGAGGCUUUUUUGGCGGAGUUUCGAUCCAUGUUUGGAGAACAUGAUACAAUUCGUGUUGCAACCAACAAGAUCCGUAUUUUGCGACAAGGCAAUCGAUCAGUAACAUUAUAUGCUUCGCAAUUUCGACAACUUGCAACUGAUAUCAAGUGAGAUGAUGCCGCACUUGUGAGUCAAUUUCUCUACGGAUUACAAUAUGAGGUAAAGAAAUUGAUGCUUAAUUUACCUGAUCCUCAAACAUUGAGUCAAGCAAUUGACUUUGCUGUGAAGUGCGAUAAUCGACUUUUUGAAUUUCGAUCCGAGAGUCGCACAAGUGGGCCUCAACGUUACUACAAUUCAAUGGCAACACCGACGUCUCCUCAACACAUACCUUCAGAAGUAGAGGAUAUGCAAAUUGAUGCGGUACGUUUCAAACCUCUUACUGAGCAAGAAAAGUCUUGUCGUCGACAAGAAGGAUUGUGCUUAUAUUGUGGAGAACCUAAGCACACUGCUCAACAUUGUCCAAAGAAGCGACGUAACUACAAAAUGAGGAGUACGGCUGUCAAAGAAGACAGUAUGUCGGAAAACGAGUACGUCCAGCUACAAUAGGGACCGUGCGGCUGGAAUCUUGUACAACUUCUAAUGAAGGUCCUAUCCUCUCCUCAGAACCAUCUCCUUGUUUUAUAAUAGAUGUGCGUUUAGGACCUAAUAAUUACAAAGCCUGUGGCUUGGUAGAUUCAGGAGCCUCAUCUUGUUUUUUAGAUGAAGAAUUUGCUAGAUGUCAUAGAAUAUCAUUAAUACAAAAAACUAAACCUGUAUACGUAGAAGUCAUAGAUGGUCGUCCGUUGUCUUCUGGAGAUGUAACUCACGAAACACUUCCUGUAGAUGUAGUAAUAAAUGGUCAUAGUAGUUGCGUAAAUUUUAAUAUAAUUAGAUCUCCCUCUAAUCCAGUAAUUUUAGGCUUAUCAUGGUUAGAAAAGUAUAAUCCUCGAAUAGAUUGGAUUUCUCGUAAACUUGAUUUUCCUCAGAGCAUUAGUAACAGUUCUAUUAAUCAAGUAAAAAACCAUGAGUCUAGUAUAGUAAAACUCGCACUUAUAGGUGCAAAAGCAUUUAUACACGCAGCAAAAGAAGGAUCAACUUUUGCUAUUUAUGCUGCACCUAUUUCUGAAAGCGUAAAGACUUCAAGUGGCAUUCCAAGUCAAUAUCAGGAUUAUCAAGACGUUUUUGAGAAAAAGAAUGCAGAUAUUCUUCCUGAGCAUCGCCCAUACGAUUGUUCAAUCGAUCUCAAGGAAGGAACUCUGCCACCAUUUGGACCAAUUUACAGUUUAUCGCAAGAUGAGUUGGCUGAACUCAAGACAUAUAUUGACGAGAAUUUAGCGAAGAAUUUCAUACGCCAUUCAAAAUCUCCAGCAGGAGCUCCAAUUUUAUUCGUAAAGAAAAAAGAUGGAUCUUUACGAAUGUGUGUUGACUAUCGAGGACUCAACAAGAUCACAAUCAAGAAUAGGUAUCCAUUACCUUUGAUAUCAGGACUCCUUGACCAGUUAAAUCAAGCUAAGAUCUAUACAAAAAUAGAUCUAAGAGGAGCAUAUAAUCUAGUACGGAUCAAAGAAGGAGAUGAAUGGAAGACUGCGUUUCGAACCAGGUACGGACAUUUUGAAUAUAAUGUCAUGCCUUUUGGACUCACGAAUGCACCAGCUGCUUUUCAACAUCUCAUGAAUGAUGUAUUUCGUGAAUUCUUAGACAAUUUUGUCGUCUGCUACCUAGACGAUAUCCUGAUUUAUUCUAAGAAUGUUGAAGAACAUGAAAUACAUGUUCGUCAAGUAUUACAAAAACUCAGAGAUGCAGGAUUGUACGCCAAGAUGGAAAAGUGUGUAUUUCAUACUACUCAAGUUGACUUUUUAGGAUACAUCAUUUCAAAUGAUGGUCUUAUGAUGGAUUCUAAGAAAGUCCAAACAAUCAUGGAUUGGAAGAUUCCAAGGACAGUAAGAGAUGUCCAAUGUUUCUUGGGAUUUGCCAAUUACUAUCGGAUCUUCAUCAAAGACUUCUCACGAGUUGCAGCUCCACUUACACGCUUGACUAGUAAAGAUAAAUUCCAAUGGAAUCAAGAAGCGGAAGCAGCAUUUGAAGCCUUGAAGACAUCAUUUGUCUCUGCACCAGUCUUAUAUCGUGUUGACUUUUCCAAGGUAUUUUUUAUGGAAACAGACGCAUCGGAUUUUGCCUUGGGUGCAGUUUUAUCACAAAUGGGAACAGAUGACAAACUUCAUCCGAUAGCUUUUCAUUCAAGAAAAUUCUCAGCAGCCGAGAUCAAUUAUGAGAUCCACGAUAAAGAACUUCUUGCAAUCGUGGAUUCUUUUCAAGAAUGGCGUCAUUAUCUAGAAGGUGCUUCUAGUCCAGUCACUGUGUAUACAGAUCACAAGAACCUCGAGUAUUUCAUGUCAGCACGCGUGUUGAAUCGUCGUCAAGCUCGUUGGAGUAUGUCUUUGUCAAGAUUCGACUUCAUUAUCACUUAUCGGCCAGGAAAACAACAAGGUUUGUCCGAUGCCCUGUCUAGACGUUUUUAUUUUGCACCAAAAGAAGGAGAUGCAGCUUUUGAGCAACAAAGAACGGUCCUCUUGAAACCGGAGCAAUUUCAUCUCCGAGCAGUGAAAUCAACAUUGACUGUUGAUUCAACUUUUCUCAAGAAAAUCCAGUCCAGUAUGUCCUUAGACCCUCUUGUUCAUGAUAUCGAGAAUAAUUCUUCCAAGUCUCAUGAUUCUUCUAAGUUCGAGUUCAAGAAUAAUCUAUUAUAUUUUGAAGGACGCCUAUAUGUUCCAGAAGGAAAAGCACGUUUGCGUGUUCUUCAAGCACGUCAUGACUUUCCAGCAGCAGGGCACUUUGGAUAUAAUAAGACUCUGGAACUCAUAUCAAGAGAUUUUUGGUGGCCACAAAUGUGGAAGUCAGUCAAAGACUUUGUACAAUCAUGUGAUAUUUGUUCAAGAUCAAAAAUUCCUCGACAUCGACCUUACGGACUUCUUCAGCCAUUACCUAUACCAGAACAACCAUGGUCUUCUGUUUCUAUGGAUUUCAUCACAGAUCUUCCAAACUCAAGAUCUUAUGAUUCUAUAUUUGUGAUAGUAGAUCGUUUCACCAAGAUGGCACAUUUUAUGCCAUGUACAAAAUCUAUCACAGGUGAAGAAACAGCUAAGCUUUUCAUUGAUAAUAUCUAUCGCUAUCAUGGAUUACCUAAAGAUAUCAUAUCGGAUAGGGGAACUCAAUUUGUGUCGAGAUUCUGGAGGACUCUUUUCAAGAUUUUAAAAGUGGACAUAAAGCUAGCUUCAGCUUUCCAUCCUCAAACUGAUGGACAAACAGAGCGCGUAAACCAAGUCUUGGAACAGUAUUUAAGGUGUACCAUCAACUACCAACAAGAUGAUUGGACAAACCUUCUGCCAUUGGCAGAGUUUGCUUAUAAUAAUACGGUACAUUCCUCCACGCAACAAACACCUUUCUUUGCCAAUUAUGGCUAUCAUCCACGACUUGAUACUUUUGAUUUUUCAAAAGUUGAUAAUCCUGCAGCAGAAGAUAUGGCAAAUCGGUUGUCAGAGUUACAUGCAAUAAUGAAGGCGCAGUUGAAGAAAGCUCAAGAACGACAAAAGAUAAAUGCAGAUGUAUAUCGUAAAGAGCAACCACAACUCAACGUGGGUGAUAAGGUAUGGCUACUUCGUCGCAAUAUCAAGACCACUCGACCUUGUGACAAAUUGGACUAUCGUAGGCUUGGCCCCUUUUCUGUUUCUGAACAGAUCAACCCAGUUGCAUAUCGGUUACAUCUACCGGAGUCAAUGAAGAUCCAUCCUGUAUUCCACGUGUCUCUUCUUGAACCAUAUAAGACAGUGGAUAUAUAAGGAAGAAGACAAAUGCCACCGCCUCCUAUAGAAGUAGAUAAUAAUGAAGAAUUUGAGGUGGAAGAGAUAUUAGACUCAAGGCGGCGCCGAAAUAAGCUGGAAUAUCUUGUUCAUUGGCGCGGAUAUGAUAUUAGUGAGCGCACAUGGGAGCCAUCCAGGAAUCUAGCAAAUGCAUCAACUAAAGUCAAAGUUUUUCAUCAACGACAUCCAUCAAAACCAAGAUGAAAACCUCUCUUAUAAAAGAGACAAGAUUGAGGCAAGAUAACAUUCAAUUUCCUAUCCUUGUUUGUAACUUCUUUGCAUUUGUGACGCUAAUUAGAUGGAGAGCCAAGAACCAGCGGAUUCAACUCAAGAACCUUCGUUUGCUGACUUACCGGAUGAGAAAUUGCGAUUGUCACAACCUUCAAGAUGACGCAACCGAGAUGAAGACCCUCAAGAACGACAUGUUCUUCCUCGAAUAGAUGGUGAGAUACAACGCGUUUGGUAUCACGACCUUGGAAGAGAUUCUCGAUGUUUGGUGAUAUUAUUGGAGAUAGGAACGACUCCUGAUGGUAUUUCAAAUGUAUUAUUUGAAAGAAGUUAUGAAGGCCUCAACAGUGAUCAAAUAACAGGGUGGUCUUCUCGCCCUGGAAUGGGACACUAUCGAUGGCUAAGAGGACCCAUCAACUAUCUUCGAAGAGAACAAAGAUCAGAGUAUGUAGCAAAUACAAUUCGCCGCAUAUUAGAUUUUCUCAAUAUAUAAUCACCGCUCCUCGUGGAACUCGUCCCUAGAAGGGGGGGUAAUGUCACGGACAUACAUAUAAUUACCUAUAUGAAUAGAUAAAAGUAUGUAAAAGUAGAUAAAAUUAGGUUAAUUAUGUAAUAUCUUCUAGACAAGCUUCUUAGAAGCUUCAUAGACGUUGCUUUGACUUUAUAGGAGUCUAUAGUUGACUUUUAGGCUAGAAACUUGGUCAACAAGUUAGCCAUGUGCCACACAUGUUGGAAGCUUAAAGAAUAAGCUAACUACAUGGUCCAUCCAUAGAAAACUUGCCUUGCAAGCAAAGGCAUGUGGCCUAGAAAGUCAACAUAUAUUGGAGGUCUUAUAGAACAUUGCCACGUGGCUUCUAGUUAGAUAGUAUAUAUAGAGGCAAGAGUGAAGCCCUCUUCACUCUUGUCAACUCCUUUCUUGCUUCUAGUCUAGUUUCAAGGGUCUCUAGUUUUCUUGUAUUUUGGCAAUAGCCAUUCCAGUUUCUUUCUUAAUAUACAUAUUUCUAUUUUGUCCUAUUUCUUUUUGAGAAAAG
rnacentral:lncRNA from 1 species